UACGUAGGGUGCAAGCGUUAAUCGGAAUUACUGGGCGUAAAGCGUGCGCAGGCGGUUGUGUAAGACAGAUGUGAAAUCCCCGGGCUCAACCUGGGAACUGCAUUUGUGACUGCAUGGCUAGAGUACGGUAGAGGGGGAUGGAAUUCCGCGUGUAGCAGUGAAAUGCGUAGAUAUGCGGAGGAACACCGAUGGCGAAGGCAAUCCCCUGGACCUGUACUGACGCUCAUGCACGAAAGCGUGGGGAGCAAACAGG
rnacentral:rRNA from 1 species